rnacentral:lncRNA from 1 species
AAUAAUGAAGCUACUCAAAUUCACAAUAACAUCCAACGCGUCAACAACCCUACAAGAAAAGAAUUAAAUAAUGAGAUUCAUGACAAUCCAAACAACAACAGAAAAAAGAUGGAGGUAAUAAGUUGAAACAUUUACAUGGCAGAAGACAUAAAUCAUCAAAUCACUAAGACCUCCAAGGAGAGGAAUUAGAAAAUUUAAUGCAGAAAGUUCCAUCAAGGAAAAAAAAC